rnacentral:pre_miRNA from 1 species
UUACGGGGAGCUUUCUUCAGUCCAACGAAAGGCCGUAUAGGGAUGAUUCAACUGCUGGUUCAUGGACUCUACUAUCUUGUAAUCCUCGAGGUUCAGUAUUGGCGGCAAGAUAAUGGUGUGCAUGACACGGGAGUCGUAUUGCCACUACGCUGUUUUUACUUGGAUUGAAGAGAGCUCCCAGAAA